CGCAGCCCUGUCAAAUUCGGCCCUGCCUGCCCCGUGGCAGGGACCGGCCCUCGGGCUGCCACAGCAACCGUGUGCUGCACGUGCCCCACGUCCCCUCCCCUGGGACACUGGGGGGUAAACGGCCACUGACACCU